rnacentral:rRNA from 1 species
GAUGAACGCUGGCGGCGUGCCUAAUACAUGCAAGUCGAACGGAGAUUGUAGCAAUACGGUCUUAGUGGCGAACGGGUGAGUAACGCGUUGGUAACCUGCCCCGAAGCGUGGGAUAACGGUCCGAAAGGACCACUAAUACCACAUGUGAUCCCGAGGAAUAGAUACUUGGGAUGAAAGGAGCAAUUCGCUUCGGGAGGGACCUGCGUCCCAUCAGCUAGUUGGUAGGGUAACGGCCUACCAAGGCGAUGACGGGUAGGGGACCUGAGAGGGUGGCCCCCCACAAUGGAACUGAAACACGGUCCAUACACCUACGGGUGGCAGCAGUAGGGAAUAUUGGUUAAUGUGCGAAAGCGCGAACCAGCAACGCCGCGUGUGCGAUGAAGGCCUUCGGGUCGUAAAGCACUUUUUGUCAGGGAAGAGGAAGGACGGUACCUGCAGAAUAAGUCUCGGCUAACUACGUG